rnacentral:rRNA from 1 species
CCUACGGGGGGCAGCAGUUAGGAAAUUUUGCCAAUGGGGGAAACCCUGAGCGAGUAACGCCGCGUGGAGGAUGACGGCCUUCGGGUUGUAAACUCCUUUUCUGUGGGACGAUAGUGACGGUACCACAGGAAUAAGCCCCGGCUAACUACGUGCCAGCAGCCGCGGUAAUACGUAGGGGGCGAGCGUUGUCCGGAAUUACUGGGCGUAAAGAGCGCGUAGGCGGCGCCAUAAGUCUUGUGUGAAAGCCCCCGGCUCAACUGGGGAGAGUCGCGAGAAACUAUGGUGCUUGAGUGUCGGAGAGGGAAGUGGAAGUCCCGGAGUAGGGGUGAAAUCCGUAGAUACCGGGCCGAACACCAGUGGCGAAGGCGACUUCCUGGCCGACGACUGACGCUGAGGCGCGAAAGCGUGGGGAGCGAACGGGAUUAGAUACCCGGGUAGUC